rnacentral:rRNA from 1 species
CAUUACCGAGUUUUUACAACUCCCAACCCUAUGUGAACCUUACCAAUCGUUGCUUCGGCGGAACGCCCCGCGGCCCCUCGGGGUCCGGACCCAGGCGCCCGCCGAGGAACCCAAACUCUUCUGUUUUUUAGUUGUAUCUUCUGAGUGGAUUUAACAAAUGAAUCAAAACUUUCAACAACGGAUCUCUUGGUUCUGGCAUCGAUGAAGAACGCAGCGAAAUGCGAUAAGUAAUGUGAAUUGCAGAAUUCAGUGAAUCAUCGAAUCUUUGAACGCACAUUGCGCCCGCCAGUAUUCUGGCGGGCAKGCCUGUUCGAGCGUCAUUUCAACCCUCAAGCUCUGCUUGGUGUUGGGGACCGGCCGCAGCCUUAGUGCUCUGCCGCCCCCUAAAUACAGUGGCGGUCCCGCCGCAGCCUCCUUUGCGUAGUAGUAAACCACCUCGCACAUGGAACGCAGCGUGACCACGCCGUUAAACCCCCAACUUUCUGAGUUUGACCUCGGAUCAGGUAGGAAUACCCGCUGAACUUAAGCAUAUCACAUUACCGAGUUUUUACAACUCCCAACCCUAUGUGAACCUUACCAAUCGUUGCUUCGGCGGAACGCCCCGCGGCCCCUCGGGGUCCGGACCCAGGCGCCCGCCGAGGAACCCAAACUCUUCUGUUUUUUAGUUGUAUCUUCUGAGUGGAUUUAACAAAUGAAUCAAAACUUUCAACAACGGAUCUCUUGGUUCUGGCAUCGAUGAAGAACGCAGCGAAAUGCGAUAAGUAAUGUGAAUUGCAGAAUUCAGUGAAUCAUCGAAUCUUUGAACGCACAUUGCGCCCGCCAGUAUUCUGGCGGGCAUGCCUGUUCGAGCGUCAUUUCAACCCUCAAGCUCUGCUUGGUGUUGGGGACCGGCCGCAGCCUUAGUGCUCUGCCGCCCCCUAAAUACAGUGGCGGUCCCGCCGCAGCCUCCUUUGCGUAGUAGUAAACCACCUCGCACAUGGAACGCAGCGUGACCACGCCGUUAAACCCCCAACUUUCUGAAKUUGACCUCGGAUCAGGUAGGAAUACCCGCUGAACUUAAGCAUAUCA